GGGAAUUCUUUUUGCAUUUUUGGGUGCUAUAGGCUAGUUGGAACUGCUCACCUCAAUGAACUAUGCUAAGCUAUGCUAACAAUGGGUGCUUCAGACU